UGAACGCUGGCGGCGGCUUAACAUGCAGUCGACGCGGGGGAGGUAGCUUGCUACGGACCUAGCGGCGGACGGGUGAGUAAUGCUUAGGAAUCUGCCUAUUAGUGGGGGACAACAUCUCGAAAGGGAUGCUAAUACCGCAUACGUCCUACGGGAGAAAGCAGGGGAUCUUCGGACCUUGCGCUAAUAGAUGAGCCUAAGUCGGAUUAGCUAGUUGGUGGGGUAAAGGCCUACCAAGGCGACGAUCUGUAGCGGGUCUGAGAGGAUGAUCCGCCACACUGGGACUGAGACACGGCCCAGACUCCUACGGGAGGCAGCAGUGGGGAAUAUUGGACAAUGGGGGGAACCCUGAUCCAGCCAUGCCGCGUGUGUGAAGAAGGCCUUAUGGUUGUAAAGCACUUUAAGCGAGGAGGAGGCUACUUUAGUUAAUACCUAGAGAUAGUGGACGUUACUCGCAGAAUAAGCACCGGCUAACUCUGUGCCACACCGGGU
rnacentral:rRNA from 1 species